rnacentral:rRNA from 1 species
CUAAGCCGAGGCCGAAAGGCGUAGGUGAUGGACAACAGGUUGAUAUUCCUGUACCGCCAAUAAGCGUUUGAGAGAUGGAGUGACACAGUAGGAUAAGCUAACCGUACUGUUGGUUAUGUACGGCUAAGCAUUGAGGCAGUCUAAAUAGGCAAAUCCGUUUAGACAAUGCUAGGAUGUGAUGGGGAAGCCCUUCGGGGCGAAGUAGCUGAUUUCACACUGUCAAGAAAAGCUUCUAUCGAGUUUAAAGGCGCCCGUACCGUAAACCGACACAGGUGGGUGAGGAGAGUAUCCUAAGGCCAGCGAGAGAACUAUUGUUAAGGAACUCGGCAAAAUGACCCCGUAACUUAGGGAGAAGGGGUGCCUGUCUAUGACAGGCCGCAGAGAAUAGGCCCAAGCGACUGUUUACCAAAAACACAGGUUUCUGCUAAGUCGCAAGACGAUGUAUAGGAGCUGACGCCUGCCCGGUGCUGGAAGGUUAAGGGGAUCUGUUAGAGCAAUCGAAGCAGUGAACUUAAGCCCCAGUAAACGGCGGCCGUAACUAUAACGGUCCUAAGGUAGCGAAAUUCCUUGUCGGGUAAGUUCCGACCCGCACGAAAGGCGUAACGAUUUGGGCACUGUCUCAACAACAGACUGGGUGAAAUUGUAAUACCGGUGAAGAUGCCGGUUACCUGCGACAGGACGGAAAGACCCCAUGGAGCUUUACUGUAGCUUGACAUUGAGUCUCGGUGCUACAUGUACAGGAUAGGUGGGAGGCUAUGAAGCAUGGACGUCAGUUUGUGUGGAGCCAUCCUUGGGAUACCACCCUUGUAGUACUGGGAUUCUAACCAGCUGCCUUGAAUCAGGUAGUGGGACACUGUCAGGUGGACAGUUUGACUGGGGCGGUCGCCUCCUAAAGAGUAACGGAGGCGCUCAAAGGUUCUCUCAGUACGGUCGGAAAUCGUACGUAGAGUGUAAAGGCAGAAGAGAGCUUGAUUGCAAGACAUACAGGUCGAGCAAGGACGAAAGUCGGACUUAGUGAUCCGGUGGUACCGCAUGGAAGGGCCAUCGCUCAACGGAUAAAAGCUACCCUGGGGAUAACAGGCUGAUCUCCCCCAAGAGUCCACAUCGACGGGGAGGUUUGGCACCUCGAUGUCGGCUCAUCACAUCCUGGGGCUGUAGUAGGUCCCAAGGGUUGGGCUGUUCGCCCAUUAAAGUGGUACGCGAGCUGGGUUCAGAACGUCGUGAGACAGUUCGGUCCCUAUCCGUCGCAGGCGUAGGAAAUUUGAGAAGACCUGUCCUUAGUACGAGAGGACCGGGAUGGACGUACCUCUGGUGUACCAGUUGUUCUGCCAAGGGCAUGGCUGGGUAGCUAUGUACGGAAUGGAUAAGCGCUGAAAGCAUCUAAGCGCGAAGCCAACUUCAAGAUAAGAUUUCCCACCGUAAGGGUAAGACCCCAGGAAGACUACCUGGUUGAUAGGUCGAAGGUGUAAGUGCAGUAAUGUAUUUAGCUUAUCGAUACUAAUAGGUCGAGGACUUGACCAA